rnacentral:tRNA from 1 species
GAUGGUAGCUCAGUCGGGUAAGCGCCCGCUUCUCACGCCAGAGAUGCGGGUUCGAAUCCCGGCGCUGUACCA